ACUAAUGUGUGUGCCUCAGUAGUGGACCAGCAAAAACUCUGCCUAGUGUGUAACCUGUUACUGAGCCAGUUGAGUUUAUCCUGACAGGCUGUCUCUAUUUCAUUAGAAGUCAGUCAGGAGUUACAGGUGUUUGCUUUUACAGGAAAAACGUGUUUAUAUUGGUAAUCCUGAGCCUGCACAGGAAGGCCUGAGGCACUGUCGUGCAUGGGCCAGUGCCUGAGGGCUGCAAGGGGCCCCAGACCUGCCCCUGGAUGCAACAUGGGCAGGAGGUGGAGCUGGGCACACUACCAGCCAGCUGUGCUGUGGUCAGGCCAGGCUGCCUGAGCCAGAGCAGGGUAGUGAAUCUGUCAAGAACCAAAAAUCGCCCAACUUAAUGCAUGUGCCCUGGGUUGCAUUCAGACCUAAACACCAGUGUAAAGUCCAGGUGCCCAGUGAGACUGAGUCCUUCCCAGUGGGUGUGAAGGCUGUCCAGCGGUGCUGAAGGGCAGGAUAGGUGGAUGGGGAAAUGAUUCUUGUGAAUUUUUCUGCCAGCAUGACAAGUAAUGGUGAAAGCAGCAGAGAGGACACUGAAGGAGAACGAGGAUGCUUCUGACUUUGCUUCUUUAAGAUAAUAUAGUGAGUGCAGGCAGCUUCCCAUGGUGAUCCACCUAGGCAGCAACAAAACUGAUAAAAUUGGAACUGUGGAUCCCUACUCCAGCAGACUGAGCACAGUGCUACCCUGUCUUGAAGCUACGUUUCAAUGUCCCUUCGAGGAAGCUGGUCCGUCUCCUCUCCAGAGUAUGACUGGUAGUGCCACUGCUCUUCGUUGAGUGCAGUAUUUUGGAUUUCAGUCUGUUAACUGGGUAGAUUCCA